GUAGUCUCGCACAGAUGCAUAUCAAUAAGGCGGAGGAAAAGAAACUAACAAGGAUUCCCCUAGUAACGGCGAGUGAAGCGGGAAGAGCUCAAAUUUGAAAUCAUAAAGGGUUUCCCUUUACGAAUUGUAGUUUAAAGAAGUGUUUUCUGUUGAGGUUUUGGUAAAAGUUCUUUGGAAUAGGACAUCAUAGAGGGUGAGAAUCCCGUAUUUGACCUUUACUUUCAACUUUGUGAUACACUUUCAAAGAGUCGGAUUGUUUGGGAAUGCAGUCCAAAAUGGGUGGUAAAUUUCAUCUAAAGCUAAAUAUUGGCGAGAGACCGAUAGCGAACAAGUACCGUGAGGGAAAGAUGAAAAGAACUUUGAAAAGAGAGUUAAACAGUACGUGAAAUUGUCAAAAGGGAAGCGUUUGACACCAGUGUUGUUUUUCUGAAAAUCAAUUAAAGAACUGUUUAUGCUAAGCUGUUUAGACUUUAUCAGCUAUCUGUUUAGUUUUGAGCUUUUCUUUAAUGCACUUUUCAGUUAACAAGUCAACAUCAAUUUCUUUUGCUGUAAAAAAGCUUGAGGAAGGUGGCUUGAGAUUCGUCUUAAGUGUUUAUAGCCUCUUGCCUAUGCAGUCGGAGAGAUUGAGGUCUGCAGCGUAGAUCCUUCGGGGCUAAAUGCAUUUGUGCUAAGUUAUAGCAUUUUAUAGACAACUUGUUGACUAUGAUUUGUCUUGUAGCUUACUCGCUUAUGUUAUUUUACCUACGCUUAGGAUGUUGAAGACUCUACAGAGAU
rnacentral:rRNA from 1 species